CAGCUCAGCACUUGCACAGUCAAAUGAUGAAAACAGGCCGAAAUGAGCUGAUUGCCCGCUAUAUUAAGCUGCGAACAGGGAAAACACGCACAAGGAAACAGGUAUCUAGUCACAUCCAGGUCCUGGCAAGGCGGAAAGCUAGAGAGAUCCAAGCCAAGCUCAAGGAUCAGGCAGCUAAAGAUAAAGCCAUGCAGAGUAUGGCUACAAUGUCAUCUGCCCAGAUUAUCUCUGCAACUGCCUUCCAUAGUAAAAUGGCCUUGCCUGGUCUCCCACGACCAGCCUACCCUGCUGUUUCUGGGUUUUGGCAAGGAGCUUUGCCAGGCCAAGCUGGAUCUUCCCAAGACGUGAAACCUUUUUCUCAACAACCUUAUGCUGUACAGCCUCCCUUGCCAUUACCAGGGUUUGAGUCUCCUACUGGCCUCUCGCCUUCCCCAUCAGCACCAGCUUGGCAAGGACGAAGGGUUGCUAGCUCCAAACUUUGGAUGUUAGAAUUCUCUGCAUUCUUGGAACAACAACAAGACCAAGAUACAUAUAACAAACACCUGUUUGUGCACAUUGGGCAGUCAAGCCCCAGCUACAAUGACCCCUACCUCGAGGCAGUGGAUAUCCGGCAGAUCUAUGACAAGUUUCCUGAGAAAAAAGGGGGCCUGAAGGAGCUCUUUGAAAGGGGGCCGGCUAAUGCCUUCUUCCUUGUCAAAUUCUGGGCUGAUUUGAACACGAAUAUUGAAGAUGAAUCCAGAUCUUUCUAUGGCGUUUCCAGCCAAUAUGAGAGCCCAGAAAACAUGGUCAUUACCUGUUCCACCAAAGUGUGUUCCUUUGGAAAGCAGGUGGUGGAGAAAGUGGAGACAGAGUAUGCACGCUAUGAAAAUGGACACUAUUCCUAUCGCAUUCACCGUUCCCCUCUCUGCGAAUACAUGAUAAACUUCAUUCAUAAACUCAAGCACCUUCCUGAGAAGUAUAUGAUGAACAGUGUGCUGGAGAACUUUACUAUCUUACAGCUCAGCAUCUAAUUGAACUUAGUAUCUCUCACGUGUAUUUCACCUCAAGACCAUUUAUGGAGCUCUAGAGAUAGUAACUCAUGCAGAGAAGCAGCAGAAGAAAUUGAGAGACCUGAGUGAGAGAGAGAAAAAAAGAAAGAUAAAGGGAGAACUCACGAGGCAGAGAGAUAAAGGAAGGAGAAGGAUGCAAAAGUCAGUGAAGGAAAUGCUCAUUCCACUAUUGGACAAACAUUGAGGUCCUUUCUGUGUCCUGGCCUUUUUUGCAAGGUUGUGACAAACAGGGACACACAGGAGACCUUGCUGUGCAUAGCAUAUGUUUUUGAGG